GGUGUACAUUCGCCAUGUCCCCCUCCCAGGCUGCUGUUGGAUGAUAAUGAAGAUAAUGAGUCAGCCCUCCUAUCACAUUGCACUGCAGUCUCUAGUUGGUUCCCUGAAGGAAGUGAUAACGGAGCUGCAACCUCACACCCUGUACUUGAGGCCUUUGGGACUGAGUUUGGGAUAUCAUCAUAUACUGUAAGUUUGUUUUAAGACACUACAGUAUAGAUGAUGUACUACACCAAGUCUCUCAAGCACCCGCCGUCGCUGCACUGCUGAACAUUCCGUCGCUUUAUGACUUUCAUUUCUCCCGUAUAGCUGCUUAACAGUUAAUACGACAGCUCUUUAGUAAUUAACUAAUUGUCCGUCAUACAGGCCAGCCAAAUACAUUGAUAUUAGAUGUAAUUAAAGGGGAUUUUUAGAUAAUAAGAAAAUGUUCUAUUGAUAGUAUUUUCUUUCAUGGCCUUUACAAAUAGAGUAUAUAUAUAGGAGCUGAUAUAUUACUUGUCUCGGCACAGGCAUUCUCCAUAAAACUAAUGAAACAGAACCUCUAGUGGUGAUUUAUACAUUGUCUACGGAGAAUGCCUUAGCUUAGGCAAGCAGCAUGGCAGCUCUGAUUAAUGUCUACAUGAAAAUAUUGAAAGAAGGGAAGUUUGGAGCACGUAGUCAGUUAUUAUUGUAUGUGCAAUGUCCAGUGUUCCGAAGUGCAGCAGAGGAUGGCUGACCCAUUGUAUUGGAUGGAGACGUGUAGGGUGGCAAUGAAACCGUUACCAUUACUGAGUUUAGUAAUGGUAAGGGUUCUGUUGCUGCUCUUCCAUUCGCCUUUGAGAUUCCAGAGGAAGCAAACGCAAUGAAGAACUGAAUGUACCAUGUCAUUAUCACCUUCUGCCUUGUCAUUUCCUGAAUUGUCUACUAAAUAAAAUAUUUACAAUUA